UCCCUGGUAAUCUAGUGGUUAGGACUCUGAGCUUCCACUGCAGGGGGCACAGGUUCAAUCCCUGGCCAAGGAA
rnacentral:tRNA from 1 species